rnacentral:rRNA from 1 species
UUAGGAAUCUUGCGCAAUGGGGGAAACCCUGACGCAGCGACGCCGCGUGGACGAAGAAGGCCUUCGGGUCGUAAAGUCCUUUUCCGGGGGAAGAUAGUGACGGUACCCCGGGAAUAAGCCCCGGCUAACUACGUGCCAGCAGCCGCGGUAAUACGUAGGGGGCGAGCGUUGUCCGGAUUUACUGGGCGUAAAGAGCGCGCAGGCGGCCAUUCCGUAAGUCGGCUGUGAAAUCCCCGGGCUCAACCCGGGGGGGUCGGUCGAUACUGCGGGGCUUUGAAGGCGGUAGGGGGAGAUGGAAUUCCCGGUGUAGUGGUGAAAUGCGUAGAUAUCGGGAGGAACACCGAUGGCGAAAGCGAUCUCCUGGGCCGUUCUUGACGCUGAGGCGCGAAAGCGUGGGGAGCGAACUGA